UACGUAGGUGGCAAGCGUUGUCCGGAUUUACUGGGGGUAAAGAGCGCGCAGGCGGUCGUUCAAGUCGCGUGUGAAAGCCCCCGGCUCAACUGGGGAGGGUCACGCGAUACUGAUCGACUCGAAGGCAGGAGAGGGUAGUGGAAUUCCCGGUGUAGUGGUGAAAUGCGUAGAUAUCGGGAGGAACACCAGUGGCGAAGGCGACUACCUGGCCUGUUCUUGACGCUGAGGCGCGAAAGCUAGGGGAGCAAACGGG
rnacentral:rRNA from 1 species